UACGUAGGGCGCAAGCGUUAUCCGGAUUCAUUGGGUUUAAAGGGUGCGUAGGCGGCUAAUUAAGUCAGUGGUGAAAGUCUAUAGCUUAACUAUAGAAGUGCCAUUGAUACUGGAUAGCUAGAGUAAAGAAGAGGUAAGCGGAAUUUAUGGUGUAGCGGUGAAAUGCAUAGAUACCAUAAGGAACACCAAUAGCGAAGGCAGCUUACUGGUCUUAUACUGACGCUGAGGCACGAAAGCGUGGGGAGCAAACAGG
rnacentral:rRNA from 1 species